GAUGAACGCUGGCGGCGUGCCUAAUACAUGCCAGUCGAGCGAACAGACGAGGAGCUUGCUCCUCUGACGUUAGCGGCGGACGGGUGAGUAACACGUGGAUAACCUACCUAUAAGACUGGGAUAACUUCGGGAAACCGGAGCUAAUACCGGAUAAUAUAUUGAACCGCAAGGUUCAAUAGUGAAAGACGGUUUUGCUGUCACUUAUAGAUGGAUCCGCGCCGCAUUAGCUAGUUGGUAAGGUAACGGCUUACCAAGGCAACGAUGCGUAGCCGACCUGAGAGGGUGAUCGGCCACACUGGAACUGAGACACGGUCCAGACUCCUACGGGAGGCAGCAGUAGGGAAUCUUCCGCAAUGGGCGAAAGCCUGACGGAGCAACGCCGCGUGAGUGAUGAAGGUCUUCGGAUCGUAAAACUCUGUUAUUAGGGAAGAACAAAUGUGUAAGUAACUAUGCACGUCUUGACGGUACCUAAUCAGAAAGCCACGGCUAACUACGUG
rnacentral:rRNA from 1 species